rnacentral:rRNA from 1 species
GACGAACGCUGGCGGCGUGCUUAACACAUGCAAGUCGAACGAUGAAGCCGGAGCUUGCUCUGGUGAAUUAGUGGCGAACGGGUGAGUAACACGUGAGUAACCUGCCCUUGACUCUGGGAUAACUGCGGGAAACUGUAGCUAAUACCGGAUACGACCCUCGGAGGCAUCUCCUGGGGGUGGAAAGAAUUUCGGUCAAGGAUGGACUCGCGGCCUAUCAGCUAGUUGGUGAGGUAAAGGCUCACCAAGGCGACGACGGGUAGCCGGCCUGAGAGGGUGACCGGCCACAAUGGGACUGAGACACGGGCCAGACUCCUACGGGAGGCAGCAGUGGGGAAUAUUGCACAAUGGGCGCAAGCCUGAUGCAGCAACGCCGCGUGAGGGAUGACGGCCUUCGGGUUGUAAACCUCUUUUAGCAGGGAAGAAGCGAAAGUGACGGUACCUGCAGAAAAAGCACCGGCUAACUACGUGCCAGCCGCCGCGGUAA